UCUCCGUUGGUGAACCAGCGGAGGGAUCAUUACCGAGUUUACAACUCCCAAACCCAAUGUGAACGUUACCAAACUGUUGCCUCGGCGGGAUCUCUGCCCCGGGUGCGUCGCAGCCCCGGACCAAGGCGCCCGCCGGAGGACCAACCUAAAACUCUUAUUGUAUACCCCCUCGCGGGUUUUCUUAUAAUCUGAGCCUUCUCGGCGCCUCUCGUAGGCGUUUCGAAAAUGAAUCAAAACUUUCAACAACGGAUCUCUUGGUUCUG
rnacentral:misc_RNA from 1 species